rnacentral:rRNA from 1 species
GACGAACGCUGGCGGCGUGCCUAAUACAUGCAAGUAGAACGCUGAAGGAGGAGCUUGCCCUUCUGGAUGAGUUGCGAACGGGUGAGUAACGCGUAGGUAACCUGCCUGGUAGCGGGGGAUAACUAUUGGAAACGAUAGCUAAUACCGCAUAACAUUGACUAUUGCAUGAUAGUCAAUUGAAAGGUGCAAAUGCACCACUACCAGAUGGACCUGUGUUGUAUUAGCUAGUUGGUGGGGUAACGGCUCACCAAGGCGACGAUACAUAGCCGACCUGAGAGGGUGAUCGGCCACACUGGGACUGAGACACGGCCCAGACUCCUACGGGAGGCAGCAGUAGGGAAUCUUCGGCAAUGGACGGAAGUCUGACCGAGCAACGCCGCGUGAGUGAAGAAGGUUUUCGGAUCGUAAAGCUCUGUUGUAAGAGAAGAACGAGUGUGAGAGUGGAAAGUUCACACUGUGACG